rnacentral:lncRNA from 1 species
GGGUGAACUAACCCUUUAAAAAAAAAACCAUUUGUAAACAAAAAACUUAAUUGUUCAUGUGUUUAUUCAACAGGAAAACACAGUGUGCACACAAUACACAGUUUGCUCUUUCCAACCCAAAGCUAUUAACCAAGACAGAGUCUCUUAAUGGCGGCAUUCUCAACCACAGUGGUCCUUGGAGAGCUGAAAUGAAGGAACUAUUCUCCAACACAGGCACAAAAGAAUAUACAUCAUUCAUGUCCUCAGUUCAGAAGCCCAGGCCUAAGAAGAAAUCUCAAAAGGAUGGCCUUGCGAGACGUGAAGUGUUGAAACCAGGGAACCUGCCUCCCCCACCUGAGCCCCCUCCUGUAACGGAGGACCCACUCAAGCACCUGACAGACACACUGGACAAUGGCGGGAGCAGGAUGCCUCCACACCACAGAGAGAGAAGAUCAGACCGCAGAACAGCUGCACAGUGGAGCACGGAAGAUGAAGAUUUAAUCCAGUAUUUCAAAGCAAACCUGCUGUCCAGCGGUCAGAUGUCAAGCCACUGUUCCCUCUCCAGAAGCUCUGCCUCUCACUCCUCCGCAACCUCGCGUUCCUUGGGGGCAGGAAGGAGGAGAAAUGAGAACAUGAUAUGAGGAGAGAAGGUUGUCCUGUUGUUCACCACUCUACAUGCAACAUACGCCAUGCAGUGUAUAUGCCUCCGCGCUCUGGUCCUUCACCUGUUUUUUUGUUUGUGUUUUUUUAGAAAGGUUUUUUAAAUGAUCCAUUGUUGUCCUACCUCUGUAUGUAUAUAUUUUUACAAUGUUUUUAUGUGAGGAAAAAGGCAUGCCGGAAGGUGGCCAUUUUAUUAUUUAUUAUUAUUUAUUGUAUUUAUUCAUUUAAAAAGAAAAUCAAAUGUUUAAAAAAAAAUGACAGAAAAUUUUAGAUGAACAUGAUGUUUGAAUGUAUAUGGCGCAUACAUGUAUGCCUCAGUGUCUACAUGUAAUAAAAAGGUUUCAACAUUUUUGUGGACAAAUAUAACAGAUCAUCAGGCACAGUCUAUGUGAACAAACCAUGCAAUGAUACAUUAGUAAGCCUAUAGAAUACCAAAUGUUUGUUGUUGUAAAUCCUCGCUAGGACUGUCUCCUUACUAUCCUGUGCUCACCUAAAGGGGUUUCUUUUCUCCUGGAGAAUGAUUCACACCAUGUCAGACUGUUUUCCACUGAUGCAUCAAUCAUUUGCAGUUUUACAUGUUCGGAUUGCAUACAAAACCCAAUAAAACUCAUGUUCUAAGACUUGUUUUACAGUACUGUUACUGAUAUGGAUUUCUUUGUCUAUUAUUUUGUCAAUAACUGUGCACUUGGGUUUGGAAUUCAUGAAAAUGUAACACGUAAUUCUCAUUAGUGUCCAUGUUCGCGUGUUCAUGAAAGACUGUCGGUCUGUGUAUUAAAAUGCGGUCACAAAUCACGUUUGUACGGCAAAAAAUCUGUGAGAAACACAAGAGGAAUCCAAAACUCAACAGGAAUCCAAGUAAUUGUGAAUUUCACAGUGAUUCAUAUCGAAAUUAUUGUAUUUUGCCAGCGAAAAUUUGCCAUUUCAAAUCGGAUUAAAGUCUGUUAAAACAUGC